GGCACAUCAGGUUUCAUGCCCUGGGCCUGACUCUCCUCUCCAACUAGGUUUAUACCGGUGCAGCCCCUCUGAUGUCAGUAUCAUUACUCCUGAUUUAACGGGCGUAAGAUCAGAAUCAAUCUCCCGUUCCCCGAUGCUGGUGCAAAGUACCCUAGGAUCUUUAGUGACCAUGAGUGAUCAGCACCUUGGAGUCACAGUUCAGCAUCGCCACAGAAGGAAUGCAGCCCUAGCUCUUGCCUCUUCCCCCGAACCCAAGUUCCAUCCUUGUGAGAGGAUCCCGCCACCUUGGCAUCGUGUCUGUUUCAUCUGUGCAGUGUUGUCAGCCCUGCAGGACCAGCUGAGCUUUUGGAGAGCACACUGGAUUCUUUUUGCAUUUGUGCAUCAAAGAAUUGCAAGCAGAAAAGUUCCAGUGGCUGGGCCAUCCUCUUGUCUUCAGAUUCUGCCCUCCCACCAGCGAAGACAUUAAGGCUGUCCAGGGGGUAAGAGGAGAAGAGUAUAAAGUAAGAGAAAGUGACCUUCAUAUCACCGCUUUCUGCUCAGGACAUCAAUGACUCUGAAAGAACUGAACUAAGAAGGGGAACAGUCCCAGAUUGGAAGGAGAUGCAGCCUGUGAAAUUUCACUACAGCGUAUGGGGAGACGGGCUUUGUGCUUUUAAACCUACUAGCCUUGAUAAAGUUUAGGAAUUAGCUUGCGGUUUUAUCUUGUUAUUUCUUUUGUAACCAAUUCUGACUUUUAUGCCUUAUCACUUUUAAUCACAUAA